CACACCAGGAAAUAGCGUGGAGGGAGCCCUGGGGCAUUCCGGAAAAUGCAGUCCCUGGCCAGGAUACAUUUAAAAAUCAACAGGUCCAGCUCUUCUAAUGAUAAAACAAUGAAAAACGAAGGUCCAGAGAAAUUGCUUGUUUUGCCCAAAGUCACACAAAUCUAAGUAUUAAAGAAAGAGAUCUUUGAAGAUUCGAAGGUUUUAAAAGUUAUUGGAUAUGAAGUCUUUCAUCAGUUUCCCAGGCAAAUCCCAGAUCAACUGAAAGAAGAGUCUAAAUUGGGAGCCAGGGAAGAAUGUCACAGGUUCACAGCUCCACAAGGAAGCCAUCAAAGAAAUGAUAUGUCCUAAGAGAACUUCUUGAGUACUCCAUGAAUAGUCAAAAGGAAUCAUAGAGAUCAGGAACUCUGAGUGACCCCUUGCCAAAAUUGUUCUCUAAGACUGAGUUCUCUUUCUCCUGGAUCUUGUAUUGUUUAGUGGGUCAUUUGUUCUUAUUGUACAACUUUAGAAAAUAUCCCUAUCUAGAUGAUACUAAAUGGAUAAUCUAUAGGGAAAAGCAUAUUAGUGGGGACAGCCGGUAUUAGAGAAUGAUCUUUCUCCAACUCCUCAGGGAUACCCCUAGUAUGUAGAAAGACUUAUGCAUAGCCUUACUCAAGGACUCAAUUUAUUCAUAUUAGUGGGAUUUGAAUAAGCAUUAUUAAGAGAUUAUUUGGUU
rnacentral:lncRNA from 1 species